rnacentral:rRNA from 1 species
UGGGGAAUAUUGGACAUUGGGGGGAACCCUGAUCCAGCCAUGCCGCGUGUGUGAAGAAGGCCUUAUGGUUGUAAAGCACUUUAAGCGAGGAGGAGGGUACUGGUAUUAAUACUACCAGGUACUGGACGUUACUCGCAGAAUAAGCACCGGCUAACUCUGUGCCAGCAGCCGCGGUAAUACAGAGGGUGCGAGCGUUAAUCGGACUUACUGGGCGUAAAGCGUGCGUAGGCGGCUAAUUGAGUCGGAUGUGAAAUCCCCGAGCUUAACUUGGGAAUUGCAUUCGAUACUGGUUAGCUAGAGUGUGGGGGAGGAUGGUAGAAUUCCAGGUGUAACGGUGAAAUGCGUAGAGAUCUGGAGGAAUAACGAUGGCGAAGGCAGCCAUCUGGCAUAACACUGACGCUGAGGUACGAAAGCAGGGGGAGCAAACAGG